UACGGGGGGGGCAAGCGUUGUUCGGAAUUACUGGGCGUAAAGGGCUCGUAGGCGGCCAACUAAGUCAGACGUGAAAUCCCUCGGCUUAACCGGGGAACUGCGUCUGAUACUGGAUGGCUUGAGAUUGGGAGAGGGAUGCGGAAUUCCAGGUGUAGCGGUGAAAUGCGUAGAUAUCUGGAGGAACACCGGUGGCGAAGGCGGCAUCCUGGACCAACACUGACGCUGAGGAGCGAAAGCCAGGGAGCAAACGGG
rnacentral:rRNA from 1 species